rnacentral:rRNA from 1 species
CGGACGGGUGAGUAAUGUCUGGGAAACUGCCUGAUGGAGGGGGGUAACUACUGGAAACGGUAGCUAAUACCGCAUAACGUCGCAAGACCAAAGAGGGGGACCUUCGGGCCUCUUGCCAUGGAUGUGCCCAGAUGGGAUUAGCUAGUAGGUGGGGUAACGGCUCACCUAGGCGACGAUCCCUAGCUGGUCUGAGAGGAUGACCAGCCACACUGGAACUGAGACACGGUCCAG